GAUGAACGCUGGCGGCGUGCUUAACACAUGCAAGUCGAACGAGAAGUGAAGACGGAAACCUUCGGGCGGAAGGCUUUAUUUCGAGUGGCGGACGGGUGAGUAACGCGUGGGUAACCUGCCUCAUACAGGGGGAUAACAGUUGGAAACGACUGUUAAUACCGCAUAAGACCACAGCACCGCAUGGUGCGGGGGUAAAAACUCCGGCGGUAUGAGAUGGACCCGCGUUCGAUUAGCCAGUUGGCGGGGUAACGGCCCACCAAAGCGACGAUCGAUAGCCGAUCUGAGAGGAUGACCGGCCACAUUGGGACUGAGACACGGCCCAAACUCCUACGGGAGGCAGCAGUGGGGAAUAUUGCACAAUGGGGGAAACCCUGAUGCAGCGACGCCGCGUGAGUGAAGAAGUAUUUCGGUAUGUAAAGCUCUAUCAGCAGGGAAGAAAAUGACGGUACCUGAGUAAGAAGCCCCGGCUAACUACGUG
rnacentral:rRNA from 1 species